UUCCAAAAAUAUUUCAGAUAUAAUAAUUUAGAUUUCAGAUUAACUCAAAACCGGAACCGGAAGAUCUUAUAACUUUCUCUUUUAUCCCUCAUCUUCUCAGAUACUCUGAAACAAGAUGAGAGCCAAGUGGAGGAAAAAGCGUAUGCGCAGGUUGAAGCGAAAAAGGAGGAAGAUGAGGGCUAGGUAAUAUUCUAUAGACACUUAAUUUAAUUUGCUGAACUUUCUAACAGUUUACACCACAUUAAUGUUCAGGUCUUGUAAA